UCAGCUGGACCAACCCCAAGUCUUUCAGCUUCUUCAACAAGAAUGAAUAGGUCACAGGUGGUCUAUCGAAUUGACGAUCAUUCAUUCGCCCUCGCACCUGAUACCCAGCCCUCUGCGGUCUUUGCUGAAACGGCUGCCGUUGUUGUUGCGGUUGUUGCUGCUGUUGUUGUGCAUGCUGAUUAUCAGCAGGAAUGGUUACCGCAGUAGUGUG
rnacentral:lncRNA from 1 species